AUUGAACGCUGGCGGCAGGCCUAACACAUGCAAGUCGAGCGGUUGAGGGGAGCUUGCUCCUGGAUUCAGCGUCGGACGGGUGAGUAAUGCCUAGGAAUCUGCCUGGUAGUGGGGGAUAACGUCCCGAAACGGGCGCUAAUACCGCAUACGUCCUGCGGGAGAAAGUGGGGGAUCUUCGGACCUCACGCUAUCAGAUGAGCCUAGGUCGGAUUAGCUAGUUGGUGGGGUAAAGGCCUAACAAGGCGACGAUCCGUAACUGGUCUGAGAGGAUGAUCAGUCACACGGGAACUGAGACACGGUACAGACUCCUAAGGGAGGCAGCAGUGGGGAAUAUUGGAAAAUGGGAGAAAGCCUGAUACAGCCAUGCCGCGUGUGUGAAGAAGGUCUUCGGAUUGUAAAGCAGUUUAAGUUGGGAGGAAGGGCAGUAAGUUAAUACCUUGCUGUUUUGACGUUACCAACAGAAUAAGCACCGGCUAACUUCGUG
rnacentral:rRNA from 1 species